CCUGCAUGUCUCAGUACAGGCCAAAUUAAGGUGAAACCGCGAAAGGCUCAUUAAAUCAGUUAUGGUUCCUUAGAUCGUACACACAAUUACUUGGAUAACUGUGGUAAUUCUAGAGCUAAUACAUGCAAACAGAGCUCCGACCGGAGACGGAAGGAGUGCUUUUAUUAGAUCAAAACCAAUCGGUGGCGGGUUCGCUCGUCAUCGUACAACUUGGUGACUCUGAAUAACUUUACGCUGAUCGCACGGUCAUCGCACCGGCGACGCAUCUUUCAAAUGUCUGCCUUAUCAACUGUCGAUGGUAGGUUCUGCGCCUACCAUGGUUGUAACGGGUAACGGGGAAUCAGGGUUCGAUUCCGGAGAGGGAGCCUGAGAAACGGCUACCACAUCCAAGGAAGGCAGCAGGCGCGCAAAUUACCCACUCCCGGCACGGGGAGGUAGUGACGAAAAAUAACGAUACGGGACUCAUCCGAGGCCCCGUAAUCGGAAUGAGUACACUCUAAACCCUUUAACGAGGAUCAAUUGGAGGGCAAGUCUGGUGCCAGCAGCCGCGG
rnacentral:rRNA from 1 species